GCAGUCAUGGCCGAGAGGUUAAGGCGAUGGACUUGAAAUCCAUUUCCCAAUGGGAGCGCAAGUUCGAAUCUUGCUGGCUGCG